rnacentral:ncRNA from 2 species
CGCAGGGGUGCUCACGGCAGUGGGCUGAGAUUAGGCUGAUACCGCCUGGACCCGGGAACCUGAUUUGGAUAAUGCCAACGUAGGGAGAUCG